rnacentral:piRNA from 1 species
UCUGUGAAUGACAGUAAGUGGGUGAAGGCCC